GACGAACGCUGGCGGCGUGCCUAAUACAUGCAAGUAGGACGCAGUUGCGAACGGGUGAGUAACGCGUAGGUAACUACCUAUUAGAGGGGGAUAACUAUUGGACACGAUAGCUACUACAGCAUACUAGUAGAUGGACCUGCGUUGUAUUAGCAAUGAGGUAGGGGAAAGGCCUACCUAGGAAACGAUACAUAGCCGACCUGAGAGGGUGAUCGGCCAAAGUGGGACUGAGACACGGCCCAGACUCCUACGGGAGGCAGCAGUAGGGAGUCUGCGGCAAGGGGGGGAACCCUGACCGGGCAACGCCGCGUGAGGGAAGAAGGUUUUCGGAUCGUAAAGCUCUGUUGUGAAGGAAGCGGUACUUAACCAGAAAGGGACGGCUAACUACGUGCCAGCAGCCGCGGUAAUUC
rnacentral:rRNA from 1 species